UAAUAAACCUGAUUGCCGUGAAAAUACUUUUUGAUGAAUAACGAAAAAGAUCGUUACGUCUUCUUGUUACAGCAAUGACGAUAAUACGAGAAUGGCAGUAUUGCAAAAAGAUUGUAACAGAAAGCAGGACUGCUG
rnacentral:sRNA from 1 species